rnacentral:tRNA from 1 species
GCCUGAUCGUCCGGCGGCUCCGGCCGCGUCGGCCAGUAGCCGUCCGGGUGCGGCGGCGAGACGUGCCCCGGCCGUUCGCUGUAGUCGAUCAGGUCCC